rnacentral:lncRNA from 1 species
CGAGUCCGCGCCACGAAAACGUCCGGGCCUAGAGCAGGAGGCGGACGCGCUUCUGGCACCGAGUACCCUGCAGGACCGGGGCGCCCAGGCUGUCGAGAAGGCCCUGAGCAUCCUCUGUCUUGCCUCACCGAAUCCUCACCAACCCCUUGAGGUCAACAUCACUCCCAUUUCACAAAUGAGGAAUGAGAGACACAAAAAAUUUUGUACUUUGCAAAAAUGCUUUUCUAUUCAUGGUUCAUCCACCAAUGAGCUCUCAGCCUCUUGCUUCUAAAGAGAGGAAGAUGAGAGGGAGUAGGAUGAGGAGCCAUUCUGAGUAGCUGAGUGCAUUGAAUGACAUGGUAAGUAUUUUGUUUUUAUGUUUUUAUUUAGUCUACUAUAAAGGGAGUACAUGUUCAUAGAAGA